UACGUAGGGCGCGAGCGUUUGUCCGGAAUUAUUGGGCGUAAAGAGCUCGUAGGCGGCCUGUUGCGUCCGCUGUGAAAUCCCAGGGCUUAACCCUGGGCGUGCAGUGGAUACGGGCAGGCUGGAGGCAGGCAGGGGAGAACGGAAUUCCUGGUGUAGCGGUGAAAUGCGCAGAUAUCAGGAGGAACACCGGUGGCGAAGGCGGGUCUCUGGGCCGAUACUGACGCUGAGGAGCGAAAGCGUGGGGAGCGAACAGG
rnacentral:rRNA from 1 species